ACACUUGCCGGCUGAGGAGAAGCGGCGGUGCGCGGGAGCCGGGCGCUGGGCGGGCUGGGCGCGAGCGCGCAGACUCCGGCUCCAGAGCGAGGCGCAGCGCGCGCCCCGCCCACCGCACGGCCGUGCCGCCCUUAAAGGGACCCGCGCCCGGCGGAGGUGGGGCCCGAAGGCGUGGCUUCGAGGGCGGCCCCUGGGAGGUCCACACGCUCCCAUUCUCGCUGUCUAUUGUCUCAGGAAGGAGCCUGGACCGCCUCCUCCAGCUGCAGCAGCGGAACACGGGGGCACCGUACACGCCUGGAACAGACCUGUGUCCUUAGAUAUUCAUUGAGUACUAACUGUGUCUGGCUGUGAGCCAAACAGACAUGGUUCCAGCCAUCGUGGAACUUAAAUUUUAGAAGGGGAGACAGACUAAAGGACAAAGGAAUCAAAGCAAGUUGAUGUGUACGGUGAAAGACUUUCUGCUUCUUGAGAAAAAGUAUCUUAAAACACAUGCGAUGAUAAAUGAGGGAUUAGCAAAACCAUCAGGGCAGGCUUCUCUAGAAGAUAAUACUUCAACAGAGACUAAUGUUGGGAAAGAAUGCAAAAGGACCAAAAAAAUAGCCGAUCGAAGUGGUAGGUACCUGUGGUCCCACGACUCAGGAGGCUGAGGCAAGAGGAAGGCUUAAGCCCAGGAGUCAGAAGCCAUCCUGGGCGCCUCACCAAGAAUGCAUUUCAAAAACAAAACAAAACAGAUAAAAGACUUUGUAGCAAGAACAGGGAAGUCAAAGGCCUGAACAAGGGAGUGAGGACUUGGGGAGGAGAAAGAAUACUAAUGAAAGCAUAAUUUUCAUUCAUACAUUUAUUUAGCAAAUUAUGAACAUUCCUAACGUGCUCAAUGGUGGUUGGUUAUUGAGCGGUGAACAAAGCACCUACCCUUGUGGAACCAGAACUGCGGAAAAUGGUGGAAGGAAGAGUGGGGCGAUCCAACUUAAGGUUGUUGCUGUAUUGUUCAGGCUGCCCCUGAACUCACUGUAUAGCCCAGGCUGGCCUCAAACUCGUGGCAAUCCUUCUGCCUCAGCCUCCCAAGUGCUGGAAUUACAAGUAUGUGCCACAACAUCCAGCCUAAAGGCCGAAGGAUCUGCACUGGAGCCAACAAAUGACACUCAAAGUAAAGAUCAGAGCUGCAGCCAUCCUCAAUGACAGUGAGGUCCUGAACUCCUCCAACAAUGAGAACAGCAGAGCUCAAAGGAGGAAAGCCAGCUUCUUCUCCAGAGAAUCAACAUCACACCAUCUUCCCCUCCAGUUCUCUCCUUAUGCUGUUGGCAACAAUCCUCAGGUGGGCCUUCCACAUCCAGCUCCACACUGAUUCCGUUCAGUUGGGUGUUCCAAGCGGACCAUUAGUUAAUCCACCACAUGAGAGGGUACUGUGAUAAUGAGUGAUUUUCUAGAAUGUUUUUCUAGAGACCUUGUAUGUGCCUAUUUAUGUGUUUUCUCUAUUUUCUAGAAUAUGUCAUGCAAAUGUUUUUCAUUCAUAAUAAAACAAUUA